rnacentral:rRNA from 1 species
UACCGUCGUGCCAAGAAAAGCCUCUAAGCAUAUCCAUAGUCGUCCGUACCGCAAACCGACACAGGUAGAUGAGAUGAGUAUUCUAAGGCGCGUGGAAGAACUCUGGUUAAGGAACUCUGCAAACUAGCACCGUAAGUUCGCGAUAAGGUGUGCCGCAGCAAUGCGGUCUCAGCAAAGAGUCCCUCCCGACUGUUUACCAAAAACACAGCACUUUGCCAACUCGUAAGAGGAAGUAUAAGGUGUGACGCCUGCCCGGUGCUCGAAGGUUAAGAGGAUGCGUCAGUCGCAAGAUGAAGCGUUGAAUUGAAGCCCGAGUAAACGGCGGCCGUAACUAUAACGGUCCUAAGGUAGCGAAAUUCCUUGUCGGUUAAAUACCGACCUGCAUGAAUGGCGUAACGAGAUGGGAGCUGUCUCAACCAGAGAUUCAGUGAAAUUGUAGUGGAGGUGAAAAUUCCUCCUACCCGCGGCAAGACGGAAAGACCCCGUGGACCUUUACUACAGCUUAGCACUGCUAAUGGGAAUAUCAUGCGCAGG